UACAGAGGUCUCAAGCGUUGUUCGGAUUCAUUGGGCGUAAAGGGUGCGUAGGUGGCGUGGUAAGUCGGAUGUGAAAUCCCGGGGCUCAACCCCGGAACUGCAUUCGAUACUGCCUUGCUAGAGUACCUGGAGAGGAGAUUGGGAAUUUACGGUGUAGCAGUGAAAUGCGUAGAUAUCGUAAGGAAGACCCAGUGGCGAAGGCGGAUCUCUGGACAGUUACUGACACUGAGGCACGAAGGCCAGGGGAGCA
rnacentral:rRNA from 1 species